GUGUAGUGUAGUGGUUAGCACGGAAGAUUGUAUGUUCACUCCCAUUGGUUCUCAUCACCUCCAGACCUAAACUAACAUGACCUUUCCAGUUGAUACCAUCAAAAGUUCUUCAAUCCCCGGUUCGAACCCGGGCACG